rnacentral:lncRNA from 1 species
GGGCUCGGGGCGGAGAGGAGGGGGGGAAAUGGCAAUCUCUGAUUGGCUACGCCCGCUGUGGAUGGGCGAGGCCUGGAGGGGUUCGGCCGGGAGGCUUUGGCGCGGUCUCGCAGCUUUCACUUCCCCUCAGAGCCGCCGGUUCGAGUCCCGUGUCCGCGCCCCCGCCCGGCUGAGCUUAAAUGAGAAGCUGAGCCUGGCCAGCAGCCAGUGACUAGUCUGGGAGUUGUGGUUUGCAAGUGUUUGUGAUCAGAUAACACGAAACUAGUGCUUAGAAAGAUGUAGAGGACCUGAAACACUCGUAAGACUUGCCAGUUCUGAAGUCCUGCACAUUGAUACCGUGGUUGUAUCACAUCUUUUAUUUUGAGAAGGAAAGAUAAACUGUUCUGUUGUUUAGCUGAUUAAAACAUAACUAAAUGACACGUCUGCAAAUACUGGUGCUUCUGUGUGUUUUUCUGCCACUGAGGAGGUGAUUGAAGAGGGGGCUGCUGAAGGUGUCAAUGAAGCAGCUCACGUGUCCAUGUUCUAGAGGAGGAACAAAGCUCCAGUGAAGGUGAAUGGGAAAAAAAAGAUAUUUGACAUGUAGCAGAACCCCCCGUAUAUUUUCUGCUUGGCUGGAUCAUGCUGUCAUAGCUCUUCUUGAAUGUGGAAAUAGGUGUUUAUGGCAUUUAGCAGUAUCAUGGGAAUUAAUCUGUCUCUGAGGUGCUGACGAGGGAAGUACAACAGAAAGAAAAACAUGAGCUCUCUUUUAAAGUAUGUACAGUCCUUACAUACCAUUACACACUGAGUAACUCCCCAAAAAUGGUAAAAAAUAAUAAUAAAAAAUCAAUUGAGCCAGACAAUCGAGUUGUUCCGAUUGCCUUUUAUAGAAUCAUAGAAUAGUUAGGGUUGGAAAGGACCUUAAGAUCAUCCAGUUCCAAGCCCCUGCCAUGGGCA